rnacentral:rRNA from 1 species
GUACNGGUAGAGUUUGAUCCUGGCUCAGGUAAGUCUGUAACAAGGUAGCCGUAAGUCGUAUCACGGUAGAGCUACCUGCCUAUAAGACUGGGAUAACUUCGGGAAACCGGAGCUAAUACCGGAUACGUUCUUUUCUCGCAUGAGAGAAGAUGGAAAGACGGUUUCUGCUGGCACUUAUUGAUGGGCCCGCGGCGCAUUAACUAGUUGGGGAGGUAAUGGCUCACCAAGGGGACCAAGCGUAACCNACCUGAAAGGGUGAUCGGCCCCCCUGGGACUGAAACCCGGCCCAAACUCCUACCGGAGGGAGCAAUAAGGAAUCUUCCGCAAUGGACGAAAGUCUGACGGAACAACCCCCCGUGAACCAAAAAAGGCUUCCGGUCCUAAAGUUCUGUUGUUAGGGAAAAACAAGUACCAAAAUAACUGGUGGUACCUUGACGGUACCUAACCCGAAAGCCCCGGCUAACUACCUGCCCACAGCCGCGGUAAUACCUAAGUGGCAAGCGUUGUCCGGAAUUAUUGGGCGUAAAGCGCGCGCAGGUGGUUCUUUAAGUCUGAAGUGAAAGCCCACGGCUCAACCGUGGAGGGUCAUUGGAAACUGGGGAACUUGAGUGCAGAAGAGGAAAGUGGAAUUCCAAGUGUAGCGGUGAAAUGCGUAGAGAUUUGGAAGAACACCAGUGGCGAAGGCGACUUUCUGGUCUGUAACUGACACUGAGGCGCGAAAGCGUGGGGAGCAAACAGGAUUAGAUACCCUGGUAGUCCACGCCGUAAACGAUGAGUGCUAAGUGUUAGAGGGUUUCCGCCCUUUAGUGCUGCAGCUAACGCAUUAAGCACUCCGCCUGGGGGAGUACGACCGCAAGGUUGAAACUCAAAGGAAUUGACGGGGGCCCGCACAAGCGGUGGAGCAUGUGGUUUAAUUCGAAGCAACGCGAAGAACCUUACCAGGUCUUGACAUCCUCUGACACUCCUAGAGAUAGGACGUUCCCCUUCGGGGGACAGAGUGACAGGUGGUGCAUGGUUGUCGUCAGCUCGUGUCGUGAGAUGUUGGGUUAAGUCCCGCAACGAGCGCAACCCUUGAUCUUAGUUGCCAGCAUUCAGUUGGGCACUCUAAGGUGACUGCCGGUGACAAACCGGAGGAAGGUGGGGAUGACGUCAAAUCAUCAUGCCCCUUAUGACCUGGGCUACACACGUGCUACAAUGGAUGGUACAAAGGGCUGCAAACCUGCGAAGGUAAGCGAAUCCCAUAAAGCCAUUCUCAGUUCGGAUUGCAGGCUGCAACUCGCCUGCAUGAAGCCGGAAUCGCUAGUAAUCGCGGAUCAGCAUGCCGCGGUGAAUACGUUUCCGGGCCUUGUACACNUCGCCCGUCACACCGUAGAGAGUGAUCACGGCUCAGUAAGUCGUAACAAGGUAGCCGUAA